rnacentral:lncRNA from 1 species
UUAAGGAUAAAUGUUAUCAGUCUAUGAUCGAACCUUGGUAUGUAAUUCUAUGGUCUUUAGACUUGUGAGCAAGUUUAAGUUAGAUCCUAUGCUCUGAUUUUUUUCAUGGAAUUGUAAGUCUUGUGCAUGCGAUGCGUAGAUCCUUGGAAUGAUACAUGUGAUGUAUAUUGCCAAGCAAUAGAAUUAUUGCAUAUGAUGCGUUCACCCU